rnacentral:rRNA from 1 species
AACGAACGCUGGCGGCAUGCCUAACACAUGCAAGUCGAACGAUCCCUUCGGGCAUAUUGGCGCACGUGUGCGUAACGCGUGGGAAUCUGCCUUUCGGUUCGGAAUAACUCAGUGAAACUUGAGCUAAUACCGGAUAACGUCGCAAGUCCAAAGAUUUAUCGCCCGAAGAUGAGCCCGCGUAGGAUUAGCUAUUUGGUUAGGUAAAGGCUCACCAAGGCGACGAUCCUUAGCUGGUCUGAGAGGAUGAUCAGCCACACUGGGACUGAGACACCGCCCAGACUCCUACGGGAGGGAGCAGAGGGGAAUAUUGGAAAAUGGGCGAAAGCCUGAAGCAGCAAUGACGGGUGAGUGAUGAAGGACUUAGGGUAGAAAAGCGCUUUUACCCGGGAAGAUAAUGACGGUACCGGGAGAAUAAGCCCCGGCUAACUCCGUG